rnacentral:lncRNA from 1 species
AGUCUCACAACCAGCUCUCUGGAGAACAAACAACCAACCCUGAUUCGUGGAGUUUGCCAAUUUCCAUGAUGUAAAUACUCCGACCGUGGGUGAUUUCAAACUACCUUCCUGAUGUCACCGAAGGUGGAGCUGGGAAGAGAUGGGCAGUAGGUGGUGAUGUGCAGGGGGUGGUGUCCACGCCAUCCUAUGGUGUUUCCCCCACACGGACACAAUAGACGCAGACAACCUCGAGCGCCGAUGAUGGCAAAGUGAAGUGAAUUGAUAGGAAUUGAUGAGUUCGGAGUAUUUGUUACUUUUAAUUUUAAGGCCAUUUAUUGAAUGGUAAGUUUGUAUAACUUUAUUUUUAACAGUGACUGCUUUUAACAAGCAGCUCACAAAAUUAAUUCCUGAAAAUUUCACAAGCACCUCUUGAGAGCCAGUAUGAACUGAUUGCAGCACACCACUGCCCGAACCCCGUGAUGUAGACGCUGUUGUCAGGGAGGUGAAGCGAGGCCACUCAGCUGGUCAAUGGGACAGCUGGAGAUUCUUGAGCAAGUAACUUCCUGUCUCUGAGCCUCAGUUUCCUCAUCUGUAAAAUGGGGACAAUAAAACGGGGUGCUGCGGAGGUUUAAUGAGCUAAUGCUUGUAAAGCACCUGGCGUUCAGGACAUGCUUGACAAGUGGGAACCAGUAGUGUGUUAAACUUCUUUUUAUGAUAAUAAUGAACAUGGAUCCUGCCCUCAAGGUCUUCAUGGCCUAGUGGAGGGAGGGGGCCAAUGAUAAGACAUAUACACAGUCACAGGAAUCUGAUCCAGGCAGAAAAGGAAGGCUUCCUGGAGGAGGCUGCAUUUGAACUGGGCCUGGCAGGUAAGGGAGAAGCGGGGUCCCUAGGGGUUAGGAGGAGGCAUUCCUGGCUGACGGUCCACAACAAGCAGAGGAGGGACCCAGGAGGCGUGAAGAUGAGAGUGAGAGAUGAGGCUCGAGGCAACAGGAAGAACGUCGGAAGCCAAGACGGAGUCUGAACUCUCCUCUGAGGGCAGUGGGGAGCCACAGCAGUUGUUCAGCAGGGCCUGAUGCCAUCAGACUGGCCUCUUGGAACGUCAGUGACCGCAGUAGGGAGAAGGGCUGGGAGGGGGCAGGAGUGGAGGUGGCAUUGGCCAUGGAGCCGGGGGUAUGGAAGCCCACCCAUCUGGGCUCCUUCACUGUGCCUGGGUGUGGCUAGAGUGUCCAAAGACACAGGCCCCCUUGACCCCUCCUCUCCUGUAGCCACUGGGGGCGCGGCACAGUGGAGUCCCCGCCCCAGCCCUGCCCAAGCCCAGGUCCAGCUCCAGCCCCCGCAGCUAAUCCUAGUGUCACUGGGUCCCGAGGCCGGGGCGGGGCAGCCUGGCAGCUGGCCUCAAUUAGGUGGGGAGCCUGGUCUGGACAGUGUCAUUAGGAGAAAACCAGAGCCCGGCCAUAAACUCUAAUGAAUGCAUUAAUGGAAGGCUUGUGCGCCUCAAAGGGAAAAAAAAAAGCAGGUCUAAAUAAAGUUAUUAACACAGCCCACCUGUGUUCGGCUCUUGGCCUAUAUUGUUCAAAUAGCCCAUUAACUCCUGAAGCAUCCAGUCUUGAAAGCGAGGCCUGCCUCUCUGAAGCCGACGUUUAACUGCGUUCAUAUAAUUCAAUUAGAUUCCGCAGUCCUGGGCCAAAGGCAUUCUCCCGGCUUUCAUCUCGGUGCUUCACGAUAUUGCGUGGGCUUCUAAUAAACGUCCAGUAAACCGCAGGUAGCGCCUCGGAGAGAGAUGGGCCUGUGCACCUGUCCACAAAGGGCCUCCACAUGCUGCAGCUCCGCCUUCCGUGGCCCAGCCCUGGCACGGUCGGCUCCGGAGACGAUCCUGCCCCUCGGGACGCCUGCAGGGCCACAGCAGUUGGGGCCACGGCUUAUCCAUCAUUGCAAAGAUCUCUCCGAGAGAAAUGAAACAAGUCAGCUCUGCCCAGAGGGGGAGAAAGCUGAACGGCGCAUGGGGCCGCCCGUCCCAGGACCUUCUUGGCUUGGCUCCUGUGGAAGGGCGUGGGCUCCUUCGUCUGAAAACUGCCAAGGGAAUGCAGCCACACGGCUUAAGAGAAAUGGCGCAUCCCUGUGGUUUGGUGUCCAAGUGGACCAUUCAGGACGCUCAACUCAGAUUCCUUCCCAAACUUUGUCCAGCUCCAAGACCAACAGGGGGCUUCCACUGCAGAGGUCCAGACACCUGCACAGAUGUGUCCCUGCUGGGGGGAGGGGGUGGUGGUGAAGGUGGAAACACCGUUUCUAAGCAGCUCCUUAGAAGUGAACAAAUUCUGGUACCUCCGCGUUGUCUCGGGAACCUGCCUCUUUCCUGCCGUCUGUGCUCCCAUCCUCCCAGUGGGGGGGCUGUGGAUUCUCCAACAGGCCCAGGUAGAAUUCUGAGGUCAUCGGAGUCCCUCCUUCAAGCCUCAGUUCUAUCAGUAUCAAACUUCUGGGGAGACUUCAGGGGAAGCAGCAAGUUUGAGCCAAGAACGCAGAAUUGGAAUUCUCUGAUAAAUCCCUCCCAGCUGAGCCGGGAGGGUCUGUAGUUGGCUCAGCAAGCAGGGACGGCAGGAAGGGGCUGGUGCUGGGAAACUUCAAACAGACCUGGGGUGGCGGGGAGGCUGUGCUGAGGGAGGAGGCCACCGACAGAGGGCUCAGUUAAUUAAAGAGAUGCGUGGGCACACCUAUAGGCUCAGCCCUCUUGGUGUUAAAGCGCCAGCAACUCAAGUUCUGUGCAGGGACUCCCUCCCCCAGGGGGAGGCCUGGAAGCGGGGGAAGCCUCGAGCCACAUUUAGGAUGGACAUUUGCAGUCUUCUGGAAAGCCCCAGCCAGGGGUCCUUGGCCCUUCCACCAAGAGUUCCAAGGGAGCCGAGACUGUUUAAAAGCCUCCUUAAGCAUCAAGGGGUCUCCUGUGUUGCAGGCACUGGGCUGCACAUCACCUGGGAGAGGUAGGGGUCAUCAUAUCUCCCAUUUUACAGAUGAGGGAAGUAAGGCUCAGAAGUCACCAGCUCAAGUGCCUAUGGCUGGUGUGUGGGAGAGGCCCGGCUGGAGCUAGGAUUCUCUGACUUAUGCCACUGGCUGGAGCUGGGGACAGGACAGAGACCAGCAAAGGACAGGUGAUGGCUGCUUCCAUCCGGCCCUCACCUUGGCCCGCCCUUCACACUGUCCUUGACAUUCAAUCAGGUGCCUGUGAUGUCUGGCCCAGAGGUUGGGGCUGGGCCUCCCCAGCUUCCCAGCGACAAAUGGUUC